AGAGUUUGAUCCUGGCUCAGAUUGAACGCUGGCGGCAGGCCUAACACAUGCAAGUCGAGCGGUAACAGAUCUAGCUUGCUAGAUGCUGACGAGCGGCGGACGGGUGAGUAAUGCAUAGGAAUCUGCCCGGUAGUGGGGGAUAACCUGGGGAAACCCAGGCUAAUACCGCAUACGUCCUACGGGAGAAAGGGGGCUUCGGCUCCCGCUAUCGGAUGAGCCUAUGUCGGAUUAGCUAGUUGGUGAGGUAAAGGCUCACCAAGGCGACGAUCCGUAGCUGGUCUGAGAGGAUGAUCAGCCACAUCGGGACUGAGACACGGCCCGAACUCCUACGGGAGGCAGCAGUGGGGAAUAUUGGACAAUGGGGGGAACCCUGAUCCAGCCAUGCCGCGUGUGUGAAGAAGGCCCUCGGGUUGUAAAGCACUUUCAGUGAGGAAGAACGCCUGGUGGUUAAUACCCAUCAGGAAAGACAUCACUCACAGAAGAAGCACCGGCUAACUCCGUGCCAGCAGCCGCGGUAAUA
rnacentral:rRNA from 1 species